rnacentral:rRNA from 1 species
UGCAAGUCGAGUACGCGUCCGUAGCAAUACGGAUGGCGCACGGCGCACGGGUGCGUAACACGUGGGCAAUCUGCCCUUCGAUGGGGAAUAACCCCGGGAAACCGAAGCUAAUUCCGCAUAACAUUCCUUGGACCUCGGUUCGAGGACUCAAAGCCGUAAGGCGUCGAAGGAGGAGCCCGCGCCCGAUUAGCUAGUUGGUGAGGUAACGGCUCACCAAGGCAAUGAUCGGUAGCUGGUCUGAGAGGAUGGCCAGCCACACUGGAACUGAGACACGGUCCAGACUCCUACGGGAGGCAGCAGUGGGGAAUCUUGCGCAAUGGGCGAAAGCCUGACGCAGCGACGCCGCGUGGGGGAUGAAGCAUCUCGGUGUGUAAACCCCUUUCGACUGGGACGAAUACCUCGCAAGAGGGGUGACGGUACCAGUAGAAGAAGCCCCGGCUAACUACGUGCCAGCAGCCGCGGUAAGACGUAGGGGGCCAGCGUUGUUCGGAAUUACUGGGUGUAAAGGGUUCGUAGGCGGUGUGGCAAGUCGGGAGUGAAAUCUAUGGGCUUAACCCAUAGGCUGCUUCCGAAACUGCCGUGCUUGAGUGUGGGAGAGGCGCGUGGAAUUGCAGGUGUAGCGGUGAAAUGCGUAGAUAUCUGCAGGAACACCCGUGGCGAAAGCGGCGCGCUGGACCACUACUGACGCUGAGGAACGAAAGCUAGGGGAGCAAACAGGAUUAGAUACCCUGUAGUCCUAGCCCUAAACGAUCAGGACUUGGGGUGCCACCCGUUCGGGUGUCGUCCCGGAGCUAACGCGUUAAGUCCUGCACCUGGGGAGUACGGUCGCAAGACUGAAACUCAAAGGAAUUGACGGGGGCCCGCACAAGCGGUG